rnacentral:snRNA from 1 species
AUUAGCUUUGGCUGUACAUAUUCUGAAAUUGGAAUGAUACAGAGAUGGCCCCUGCACAAGUAUGACAUGCAAAUUUAUAGUGUUCCAUAUUUUU